rnacentral:misc_RNA from 1 species
GUAGGUGAACCUGCGGAAGGAUCAUUAAAAAUGAAGCCGGGAAACCGGUCCUUCUAACCCUUGAUUAUCUCAAUUUGUUGCUUUGGUGGGUCGCGCAAGCACCGGCUUCGGCUGGAUAGUGCCCGCCAGAGGACCACAACUCUGUAUCAAAUGUCGUCUGAGUACUAUAAAAUAGUUAAAACUUUCAACAACGGAUCUCUUGGUU